rnacentral:rRNA from 1 species
UCGAGAAUUUUUCACAAUGGGCGAAAGCCUGAUGGAGCGACGCCGCGUGGGGGAUGAAUGGCUUCGGCCCGUAAACCCCUGUCAUUUGCGAACAAACCUUGCUAUUUAAAAGAUGGCGAGCUGAUUGUAGCGAAAGAGGAAGGGACGGCUAACUCUGUGCCAGCAGCCGCGGUAAUACAGAGGUCCCGAGCGUUGUUCGGAUUCACUGGGCGUAAAGGGUGCGUAGGUGGUCGGGUAAGUCUGAUGUGAAAUCUCCAAGCUCAACUUGGAAACUGCAUCGGAUACUAUUCGGCUGGAGGGUUGGAGGGGGGACUGGAAUGCUUGGUGUAGCAGUGAAAUGCGUAGAUAUCAAGCGGAACACCAGUGGCGAAGGCGAGUCCCUGGACAACUCCUGACACUGAGGCACGAAAGCUAGGGGAGCAAACAG